UAAGUAAAAGUUUUUAAAGCUUUGUUGCAGAAAGCUUAAUUAAAAGAACUUUUCUCCCCCUAUAUCCUCCCUCUCUCUCACUCUCUUUAUUAGUCCUUCCUCUCCUUUGUAAAGCUGCACCUCCCACUAUCUUCAAAUUUUCUUCUUCUUUUUCUUUUUUGUCUCUAGGUCUUGUUUCAUCAAAUCAAUCUCUAGAAAUUCAAAUUACAAUAAAGUCAAAAAGAGAGAAGAAAAAGUUGUAAAUGAUGAGAACAGAUCAAGACACAGUAGUGAUAUUGGAUGCUGCUUCCAACAAGAACACUAGUAACACAUGUUGUGUGGUUUCCUCUUCUUCCUCUGAUCCUUUCCUCUCUUCUUCUGAAAAUGGGGUCGCUACCACAAACACAUCCAAUCAGAAGAGGAAAAGAAGACCUGCAGGUACACCAGGUAAUACCGUAAUAAUAAAGGGAUCACCACUACCGAAAAUUUUAAUUCUAAAGUUUCAGUUUUUUUUUUUGGUUUUUGUUUUAUUUCCUUAUUAUACCAAUUUGACGUCAUGAGUCUUCUUGAGUUUUCCUGCUUUUCUCUAAACCCCAUUAAACACACACACACACACACACCUUGUUUUUAAUGUUUUAAUCAUAGACAUAUUCCUUUGAUAGGAUAGAUUUUAAAGUUUCAAAUAUUCCCCUUGUUCAUAUUCCCAUUUUCAAGGUUAUGGGUAUAACUUGGGUUCCUGGUUCUCUUAAAACCCAUUUUAUGAUUGAUCAUAAACAGGUCAAUUAAUGGUUUUAUUUUUUAAAUAAUCAAUUUCUUUUCAAGUUUAGAGUGGGGGGUACUAUACCAUUGUUUUCUCUUGAACCUCAUUACAAAUCUCAACUUUUAAAAAUUAAAGUUAAAAAAAGAUCUUUAACUUUAUUGAUGUCACUCAAACAAAAUACAUGUGUUUUGAUGGGUUUUGCUUCUUCUCUUCAGAUCCAGAUGCAGAAGUUGUGUCUUUAUCACCAAGAACUCUUCUUGAAUCAGACAGAUACAUAUGUGAGAUCUGUAACCAAGGGUUUCAAAGAGAUCAAAAUCUCCAGAUGCAUCGAAGACGUCACAAGGUUCCAUGGAAGCUUCUGAAAAGAGACAACAAUAUAGAGGUGAAGAAACGAGUGUAUGUUUGCCCUGAACCCACUUGUCUUCACCACGAUCCUUGUCAUGCUCUUGGAGAUCUUGUCGGAAUAAAAAAACAUUUCAGAAGAAAACACAGUAACCAUAAGCAAUGGGUUUGUGAGAGAUGCUCUAAAGGUUAUGCUGUUCAAUCAGAUUACAAAGCUCAUCUCAAAACUUGUGGCACUAGGGGACAUUCUUGUGACUGUGGUCGCGUCUUCUCCAGGUUUAAUUUCUUGUUCUUCUCCCAAUAAUUCGAUUUUUAAUCAGAAUUUCUCUUUGAACGAAAAAAAGAUCAUAAUUUUUCCAAAUUAUUUUUGGAAAUUUGGAACAAUUAAUCAAUUAUUAGUAAACACUGGACGGAUAUGAUUUUUUUUUUUUUAACACACGGAUAUGAUAGGUUCAAAAUUAGUUAGGAUACAAGUAAUUUUGCUCUGUUUGUUUUGUAUCUUUAGGAUAUCACAGAUAGUUACAAAGGAACUAUAGGUAUAAAUAAAAAAUUGUUCUAGUCACCCAAAACCAUAGUUGAUACUUUUAGUACUAUCUGAUUUGACUAUCCCUCAUGAUUCUUACUAAUUAUGUGUAUUGAUGUGUAUGCAUAUUUCUCUUGACUAUUGUGUUUGGCUUUGGGACAUAAAAGCGAACUUAAUAAGUAGAUUAAUGACAUUGACCCCCAAUCUAUAAAUACAUUACAUAUUUUAGGCUAUUUAGUGGACCUUAACUCAUGUUAAUAUAGUAUAAAUUAUAUAAGUCGUAAGUUAUUAAUUUCAUAAGAUUAAACUAAGAAGCUUAAUAUUUAAUUAUAACUUUACCAUUAUAAUAAUUACUUUGACACUUCAUAACGCUAUAUCAUAUAGAAUAAUUUAAUUGGUAGGUUUUUUUUCCUUUUAGGGUGGAGAGUUUUAUUGAGCAUCAAGAUAGCUGCUCCAUUCGAAAAGUUCACCAUGAACCGCCGCCACCGCCACAAGCUACGGUGAAUGUCCCGGCUUGCUCCUCUAGAACUGCCUCAACCGCAAGCACUCCAUCUACGGAAACGAAUUACGCUGGUGCGGUUGCUACUCCUUUACCUCUAGAAGGGCGUCCAAUUCCUAUAAGAAACUCAUCAAACGAUGUCAAUCUCGAACUCCAGCUUCUUCCAUUAACGCCAAAUCAAAACCGUAAUCAAGAAAACCAACAACACAAAGUUAAAGAACCAUCUCAUCAUCGUAAUCAUCAUGAUACUACAAACUUAAACCUCUCCAUUGCACCAACUGCACCAUCAUUAUCUCAUCAGUACAACAACUUUGAUCGUAUAAAAGAAAUAAUGGCGAGUGAACAGAUAAUGAAGUUAGCGAUGAAGGAGAAAGCUUACGCAGAGGAAGCUAAAAGAGAAGCGAAGAGGCAACGAGAGAUAGCGGAAAACGAAUUUGUUAAUGCUAAGAAGAUAAGGCAACAAGCACAAGCUGAGCUUGAGAGAGCUAAGCUUUUAAAGGAACAAUCUAUGAAGAAGAUAAGCUCGACGAUUAUGCAAGUUACUUGUCAAACAUGUAGUGCUUUAAUAAUAAUGGAACGCAAAGCUGUAUUAGUGAUGUAUAAUCACACUAUUUUUUUUUCCUGAACGACAUAAUCACACUAUUUACAGGACUUGAGAGUGUGACACUCGGAAAAUAAAUCACACUAUAUAAAUAUGUUAACCUGUUAUUUAAUCAUGUCUUACGUCAUCUAUGAGUGAGCGCCGCGCCACAUGAAUGUUUGCAAAUAACCUGCAUUAUAAUUUGAUAAUCCUAGAUUUGAAUUGGAUCGGAACGGAAAUCCGCUUAAUUACUGAUCAGUCAACUAGUAGUCUAUUAAUGGAGAUAUAAUUUCCACACAAUGAUCUAGUUCAUUAAUGAAAAUUAUAUAGUAUUAUCUUAAUUGUUUCUUCGACAAGUCAGGUAAAACUCGUGCAGAUAAUAACAAAAAUAUAAAAAUCUUAAAUUAUUCAUCUCAAAUAGGUUAUGAAGGUUCAAGAAUAUCAGACAAAUUCAUCAAUCAGACAAGAUAUGGGUCCAAUACAAAAACAAUAUAUCCAACAUACUCUAAGAAACAAAAUCUAAAAUGUAAAUAUAAAAUAACAAAAAGAAAAAUCUAAAUGUAUACCUAAAUAAACACAUCCCCCUCUCCUUCUCUCUCUCCAUGAGUGUAUGUAUGUAUAGAUUGUAUGUAGUGAUGGAACAGUGCAAUGAGCUUUAUAAGCAGAGGCAAUAUCGGCAUCAAAAGACCCUCUAACUUGAUCUAAACUCUCUAGUGUACGAGAGAGAAAGGUUAAUGAUACCAAACAGCAAAGAUAGAGCUAGAGAGAGAGAAAGAGAGAGACCCAAGAAAAAGCUUUCAUCAUUUAACAUAAGAGAACUUUGAAGAGUCUAAGUAAAAGUUUUUAAAGCUUUGUUGCAGAAAGCUUAAUUAAAAGAACUUUUCUCCCCCUAUAUCCUCCCUCUCUCUCACUCUCUUUAUUAGUCCUUCCUCUCCUUUGUAAAGCUGCACCUCCCACUAUCUUCAAAUUUUCUUCUUCUUUUUCUUUUUUGUCUCUAGGUCUUGUUUCAUCAAAUCAAUCUCUAGAAAUUCAAAUUACAAUAAAGUCAAAAAGAGAGAAGAAAAA
rnacentral:lncRNA from 1 species